AUUUUGUACUUUUGUCGGGCGACUGGUGGUUGCCCUCUGAUUUUACUGAUUUUACUGCCUUUUAUUUGAAACAGUGUUUUAUUAUACCGGAAACAAAUUAAAAUGAAUCCAGAGAUUGGGUGCUGAUUUAAUUAAUCCGGCAGUUUGAAGUAAAUGAGAUGUAGAACGUGUGAUGUGCACGCCCAUUAAUAUCUAUAAAAAAUGGAAAAUACCGUAUCUCGGACACAACGUGACCACAGAACUUCUCAUAGAAUAUGGAUCCGCCCUACGAACCCAAUGUUUCAUUUUAAAAUUAAUUUGAACACUUUUUUAUUGUCAGUUCUGUUGUUUUUAUAAUUUUAGUAAUUGUUAUAAGAUAAUUUAAAACUAUAAAUAAAAUAUUACAUUCUUUAGUGUUGCGAAUAU
rnacentral:sRNA from 1 species